CCUACGGGAGGCAGCAGUGAGGAAUAUUGGUCAAUGGGCGCGAGCCUGAACCAGCCAAGUAGCGUGAAGGAUGACUGCCCUACGGGUUGUAAACUUCUUUUAUAAAGGAAUAAAGUGAGGCACGUGUGCCUUUUUGUAUGUACUUUAUGAAUAAGGAUAGGCUAACUCCGUGCCAGCAGCCGCGGUAAUACGGAGGAUCCGAGCGUUAUCCGGAUUUAUUGGGUUUAAAGGGAGCGUAGAUGGGUUGUUAAGUCAGUUGUGAAAGGUUGCGGCUCAACCGUAAAAUUGCAAUUGAUACUGGCAGUCUUGAGUACCAUUGAGGUAGGCGGAAUUCGUUGUGUAGCGGUUAACUGCUUAGAUAUCACGAAGAACUCCGAUUGCGAAGGCAGCUUACUAAACUGCCACUGACAUUGAUGCUCGAAAGUGUGGGUAUCAAACAGGAUUAGAUACCCGGGUAGUC
rnacentral:rRNA from 1 species